rnacentral:rRNA from 1 species
UACGGAGGGUGCGAGCGUUGUCCGGAAUCACUGGGCGUAAAGGGCGCGUAGGCGGCCUGAUAAGUAGGGGGUGAAAUCCUGCGGCUUAACCGCAGGGCUGCCUUCUAAACUGUCAGGCUCGAGCACAGUAGAGGCAGGUGGAAUUCACGGUGUAGCAGUGAAAUGCGUAGAGAUCGUGAGGAAGACCAGUGGCGAAGGCGGGUCUCUGGACAGUUCCUGACACUGAGGCACGAAGGCCAGGGGAGCAAACGGG